rnacentral:rRNA from 1 species
UACGUAGGGUGCGAGCGUUGUCCGGAAUUACUGGGCGUAAAGAGCUCGUAGGUGGUUUGUCGCGUUGUCCGUGAAAACUCACAACUCAAUUGUGGGCGUGCGGGCGAUACGGGCAGACUGGAGUACUGCAGGGGAGACUGGAAUUCCUGGUGUAGCGGUGGAAUGCGCAGAUAUCAGGAGGAACACCCGUAGCGAAGGCGGCACUCUGGGCCGGAACUGACGCUGAGACGCGAAAGCGUGGGGAGCGAACAGG